GACAAAAUUGCAUCUCCUGCCUUGUCUUGGCUCUUCAGUGUUCCCUGAGGUCCCUUCUCGCUGUAAAUCUCCUCCCUGAGCUUUCACUUGAAGUGUAACACCUAAAGCCCACGGAGGGGGUUCUUGGGGAAGGAGCCAGCUGUGCACAUGGAAUUGCAGGGAAAGAAAAGGAGCCCAAAGACUUCAGGAAGAGCUCGAUGAUGGAAAGGAGUAGUGCCGGAGGUUUCUUAGUGUGAGCAGAGCAGUUAUUCCAAAUAAUUGAAAUAUUCAUUGCACCUGCAAACAAUCCUCAGUUUAUUAAGAUUAUCUGCAUGUGAUGAGCAAAUAAAUAAAUAAAAUAAAGCAGAAUUGUAUCCCUGGGCUUGGUGAAAUCCAGAAUAUCAUCCCUGAACCACAAGCAGGGGCUCUGCAAGCUGUUGGGCUGUGUGUCCUAUUGAUUUAAUAUGCUCCUAAUCAGUACAUAAAGCUAUAGGCCUGCAGUGUUAAUUUUUCAUAUGCUUACAAAGUACCCUUUGAUUUUCUGUCACGCGUUAAUUACAGCGUUUUGCCAUUAAAUAGGAAGCUUUGUGUAAACUAAUUACUAGGUAAUCAUUGUCUACCGCCAGCGUGCUGUUCCUACCUUUUAUUUUAUUCGAGAAAUGCACAGAUCUCAGUCUGGAACCACUAUACCUUCCAGCCAUUAGCUCUCACUAAUUCAUAGCAUUAUUGUGCUAAGAUUGUAGGAGUUGUAAUUGUUGUGGUAUCAGUGCUGUUAAUUACCGGAGUAAACAGUUGAAAUGGUGCCAAGGUCUAUUGUACAAGGCAGAGGAAAAGGAGGUUUAAAUGUUACUUCCACCAUCUGGGGACUGGAGGAGAGGCAAAUGCUCGAAAACAGCAGUGAGGCAAUAUCAGAACUUCAGCUCCAGGGUUUGAGGCCAUAUGGAUCCAGAAUAUUUUGAAUCAAUUGAAUUUAAGUGCCAGUUUGUAGCAAUAACAGUGGGGAAGGAGAGGAUAAAGCAAGAGCACUAAAGAAAUCUGAAAUGCCUUAAUGUUCUUGCAGCCAAUAAAGUGCCUGCUUGGAUUAUUUUAAAAAUGUUUGUUUUGCUAAAAUCCAAAAAGUAACACAUAGGCAGCUUUGGGAAUAAAGGGAGUUUAAGUGUGUGUUGUUUGUGAAAAACAGUGCAGGUUUUGUCUGACAAUUCCUGUAGCAUUACAGCAAUUUCCAUAAAAUUCCAAGGAAGUGACUCUGGGUUUUCCAUAUAAGGUUUUUUUUUCUUUCUGAAACCACAUUUUUGGAAUUCAUUAGAAUAUUUUGUUUAAACCAGAAAGGAGAGCAAGUCACAGAAGUGUAGUAAAUUUAUAGAGAUGGAAAAAGAGAAAAGUCAAUUAAUUGGGGAAA